GGUGAACGCUGGCGGCGUGCUUAACACGUGCAAGUCGAACGAAGCAUUUGAAGGUGCUUGCACCAUCAAAUGACUGAGUGGCGGACGGGUGAGUAACGCGUGGGUAACCUGCCUCACACAGGGGGAUAACAGUGGGAAACUGCUGCUAAUACCGCAUAAGCGCACAGUAUCGCAUGAUACAGUGUGAAAAACUCCGGUGGUGUGAGAUGGACCCGCGUCUGAUUAGCUAGUUGGUAAGGUAACGGCUUACCAAGGCGACGAUCAGUAGCCGACCUGAGGGGGUGACCGGCCACACUGGGACUGAGACACGGCCCAG
rnacentral:rRNA from 1 species